rnacentral:rRNA from 1 species
GACGAACGCUGGCGGCGUGCCUAAUACAUGCAAGUUGAGCGCUGAAGGCUGGUUCUUGUACCAACUGGAUGAGCAGCGAACGGGUGAGUAACGCGUGGGGAAUCUGCCUUUGAGCGGGGGACAACAUUUGGAAACGAAUGCUAAUACCGCAUAAAAACUUUAAACACAAGUUUUAAGUUUGAAAGAUGCAAGUGCAUCACUUAAAGGUGAGCCGGCGUUGUAUUAGCUAGUUGGUGGGGUAAUGGCUCACCAAGGCGAUGACGGGUAGGCGACCUGAGAGGGUGGGCGGGGAAAUGUGGACUGAGAUACGGCCCAGACUCCUACGGGAGGCAGCAGUGGGGAAUAUUGCACGAUGGGCGGAAGCAUGAUGCAGGGAGGCCGCGUGGGGGAUGACGGCCUUCGGGUUGUAAACUCCUGUCGACCGCGAGGAAGCCACCUGGUUGGAAGGGGGGUGACGGUAGUGGUAGAAGAAGCACCGGCUAACUACGUG